CACCGAGGGAGGAGUGCUAGGAGGCUCACGCGGUGGGGGGGCCCUUCACAGUCUUAACCAAUCAACGUGGACCUGGGAUCACUAAGUCCCGCCUUCUAGGCCUCCUCGUCGCUUUAUUCGCUAACGUCAAAAUUGGUGAGUUGAGAACGGAGGGAACUUCCAUUCCCCAUAAGGAUAUAGUCUCUCUUUCCUCUCCCAUUUCCCCAAGCAAACAGUGACCUAUCUGAUGGCUAAGAAGUAGAGAAUAAGCUCUGAGACC
ensembl:lncRNA